GUUCUCAUUGUCAGCACAUGUAUUAAAAUUUAAAUGAUGCAUAAAGAUUAGAAUGGCCCCUGCACAAGGAUGACACACAAAUUCAUGAAGCAAACACAUUUUUA